CAGUAAGAGCUUGCUCUUAUGGGUGGCGAGUGGCGGACGGGUGAGGAAUACAUCGGAAUCUACCUUUUCGUGGGGGAUAACGUAGGGAAACUUACGCUAAUACCGCAUACGACCUUCGGGUGAAAGCAGGGGACCUUCGGGCCUUGCGCGGAUAGAUGAGCCGAUGUCGGAUUAGCUAGUUGGCGGGGUAAAGGCCCACCAAGGCGACGAUCCGUAGCUGGUCUGAGAGGAUGAUCAGCCACACUGGAACUGAGACACGGUCCAGACUCCUACGGGAGGCAGCAGUGGGGAAUAUUGGACAAUGGGCGCAAGCCUGAUCCAGCCAUACCGCGUGGGUGAAGAAGGCCUUCGGGUUGUAAAGCCCUUUUGUUGGGAAAGAAAAGCAGUCGGCUAAUACCCGGUUGUUCUGACGGUACCCAAAGAAUAAGCACCGGCUAACUUCGUGCCAGCAGCCGCGGUAAUACGAAGGGUGCAAGCGUUACUCGGAAUUACUGGGCGUAAAGCGUGCGUAGGUGGUUGUUUAAGUCUGUUGUGAAAGCCCUGGGCUCAACCUGGGAAUUGCAGUGGAUACUGGGCGA
rnacentral:rRNA from 1 species